rnacentral:lncRNA from 1 species
AUUUUGUCAGCGUGGAGGCUGGUGAGUCCUGUGUGAAUGCCAGGCUCGCAUCGUAUUAACCAGAAGCUGCAUUUACCUGGACCAUACAUCAGCCCGAGCCUGUCUCCAGUGAAGAGUUGGGUCGUGCUGGAGGGACCAUUCAUCACACCUGCCCAGCUUCUGGAGGCUCUCCUGGGCUUUGGUGUCUUAGGCCAGAGCUGUCACAAACAUCCCACAUUCACCUUGUCCCUGUGAGGGGAGGGAGCUCCAAGUACUCUCUGGCCUUGAGAAAUGGCCCCUGAUAUUCCAUUGC